rnacentral:rRNA from 1 species
UACGUAGGGGGCAAGCGUUGUCCGGAAUCAUUGGGCGUAAAGCGCGCGUAGGCGGCCCGGUAAGUCCGCUGUAAAAGUCAGAGGCUCAACCUUUGAAUGCCGGUGGAUACUGUCGGGCUAGAGUCCGGAAGAGGCGAGUGGAAUUCCUGGUGUAGCGGUGGAAUGCGCAGAUAUCAGGAGGAACACCGGUGGCGAAGGCGGCAUCCUGGACCAACACUGACGCUGAGGAGCGAAAGCCAGGGGAGCAAACGGG